rnacentral:rRNA from 1 species
UACGGGGGGAGCAAGCGUUGUUCGGAUUUACUGGGCGUAAAGGGCGCGUAGGCGGCCACCGCAAGUCAAUUGUGAAAUCUCCGGGCUUAACUCGGAAAGGUCAACUGAUACUGCGGGGCUAGAGUGCAGAAGGGGCAACUGGAAUUCUCGGUGUAGCGGUGAAAUGCGUAGAUAUCAGGAAGAACACCUAUGGCGAAGGCAGCUCUCUGGGACGGUACUGACGCUGAGACGCGAAAGCGUGGGGAGCGAACAGG